rnacentral:rRNA from 1 species
AGCUUGCUAGAUUGAUGGCGAGUGGCGAACGGGUGAGUAAUACAUCGGAACGUGCCCUGUAGUGGGGGAUAACUAGUCGAAAGAUUAGCUAAUACCGCAUACGACCUGAGGGUGAAAGUGGGGGACCGCAAGGCCUCAUGCUAUAGGAGCGGCCGAUGUCUGAUUAGCUAGUUGGUGAGGUAAAGGCUCACCAAGGCGACGAUCAGUAGCUGGUCUGAGAGGACGAUCAGCCACACUGGGACUGAGACACGGCCCAGACUCCUACGGGAGGCAGCAGUGGGGAAUUUUGGACAAUGGGGGCAACCCUGAUCCAGCAAUGCCGCGUGUGUGAAGAAGGCCUUCGGGUUGUAAAGCACUUUUGUCCGGAAAGAAAUCGCACUUACUAAUAUUAGGUGUGGAUGACGGUACCGGAAGAAUAAGGACCGGCUAACUACGUGCCAGCAGCCGCGGUAAUACGUAGGGUCCAAGCGUUAAUCGGAAUUACUGGGCGUAAAGCGUGCGCAGGCGGUUGUGCAAGACCGAUGUGAAAUCCCCGGGCUUAACCUGGGAAUUGCAUUGGUGACUGCACGGCUAGAGUGUGUCAGAGGGGGGUAGAAUUCCACGUGUAGCAGUGAAAUGCGUAGAGAUGUGGAGGAAUACCGAUGGCGAACGCAGCCCCCUGGGAUAACACUGACGCUCAUGCACGAAAGCGNNNGGGGAGCAAACAGGAUUAGAUACCNUGGUAGUCCACGCCUAAACGAUGUCAACUAGUUGUUGGGGAUUCAUUUCCUUAGUAACGUAGCUAACGCGUGAAGUUGACCGCCUGGGGAGUACGGUCGCAAGAUUAAAACUCAAAGGAAUUGACGGGGACCCGCACAAGCGGUGGAUGAUGUGGAUUAAUUCGAUGCAACGCGAAAAACCUUACCUACCCUUGACAUGCCACUAACGAAGCAGAGAUGCAUUAGGUGCUCGAAAGAGAAAGUGGACACAGGUGCUGCAUGGCUGUCGUCAGCUCGUGUCGUGAGAUGUUGGGUUAAGUCCCGCAACGAGCGCAACCCUUGUCUCUAGUUGCUACGAAAGGGCACUCUAGAGAGACUGCCGGUGACAAACCGGAGGAAGGUGGGGAUGACGUCAAGUCCUCAUGGCCCUUAUGGGUAGGGCUUCACACGUCAUACAAUGGUGCAUACAGAGGGUUGCCAAGCCGCGAGGUGGAGCUAAUCCCAGAAAAUGCAUCGUAGUCCGGAUCGUAGUCUGCAACUCGACUACGUGAAGCUGGAAUCGCUAGUAAUCGCGGAUCAGCAUGCCGCGGUGAAUACGUUCCCGGGUCUUGUACACACCGCCCGUCACACCAUGGGAGUGGGUUUUGCCAGAAGUAGUUAGCCUAACCGCAAGGGGGGCGAUUACCACGGCAGGGUUCAUGACUGGGGUGAAGUCGUA